GUGCUGAUAUUUGGAGGAUUAUCUUGGUGACGUUGUGGUGGACUUUGUCGCCGUGUCCCAGCCAGAUGUCCUGACUGUGAAACUUUAAUAUGUGACAUUAAAUCCUUGUGUAAUGGUAAAGAUUAUUUUUUAAGGAUGAGUAUAAAAAAUAAAGAAGCUCAGCAGAAAUGAUUAAAGUUACAAAACCUCCGGACCAAUCUGCAGGAAGAGGGUCACUGACAUUCACCUCAGAUGUGGGAGGUCAUAGAAAAACAGGCCAUGUUCAUGACUUUUAGAGGAACAGGAGGGGCUGAUCUGUCCACAGGGGGCGCCAAAAUCAACACAAACAAAAAAGUUCCUCAGUGGAGCUUUAACUAUAAAAACAAUCGUCUUUAUUUUUAGAAUAAAAACAAACAAAAACACAUAAAAUCGAUCACUCUGCUUCAUAAAACCAUGACUCACUGUGAGGGUCUUUUUUGACCCGUCAGCACUAUCACCUCCUCCUCCUCCUCCUCCUCCUCCUCCUAACCAGGAAAUUACCCCUGUCAGCACCCUGACGGCAGCCUGCUGGAUUCGGAGGCGAAGGAUCAAAGAUGCUCGGGGCCCCGGCACACGGCCAGCGGGCCCCAUUAUCAGAAAUUCUCUCGCCUUUCUCCGGCCUUCAAAGAACCUGUCUGAUCGGAUCCUUCCGCUCCGCCCGUCCUAACAGAUGUGACGGGGCACAAAAGCUUCAAACGGGGAAAAGCGGGGAGUAUGGAGGGCAUAAAGGGGCGGCGCCGCUCUUUAAAGGAGGCUGAAACGUAAAUAAUAGAUGGGAAAUAUGGCAGAGCUCUGUGUUUGUGUAACCGCCUCUCUGUGUUUGAGUUUGAUCGUCUGACGCACGACUGCUCCAAUCUUUGUCGACGGGACUUUUAAACGAAGCUCUCGGCGUCGAUGUCAUGUUGUUCUGUUAACCACGACUUUUCCCUUUUCUUCAUCCAAUCAGCUUCUGCGGCGGCGCUCCGCCCGUCUCUGGACUUUAAAAACCAACCUGACAAACAGGGAUGCUCUGAUCGGGAUUUUGGGGAUCUGAUAUUUCUGAUCACCGAUCACAGCGUCAAAAACAGGAAUUGAAUUAUUUCAUUUAUUGUGCAACAAGUUUUAAAAUAGAAGAGAAAGUUUUAUGAAUUAAAAACAAUCUUUAUUAUUACAGAGAAUCUGGAACAUUUCACUCUCGAUGCUGUAAUGACCGUCUUAGAGAGACAACUCCAAGUUUACAUCAACUGUAUAAUUAUAAAUUAAUUAAAUAUUUUUCAUAAGUGCAACAUUUCAUUCAUUAAAGGCUCCUGAACGUGGAGUUUAAACUUUAGUUUUCCUUUGGAGAUAUAAUAACCUGAACUGCCACAAACAGGCAAAAUAUAAAAUACAGUUUAAAGUCAUUAAAAGUGUCUGACUGUUCGGCUGCUGUUGUUUCAGUUUACUGCUUACAGUCGGCUGGGCGAGCGGCGGAACGGUGACGCCAUUUUCUCUGGAGUCAAACUUGAAGAGACAGAGGGCGAGAUAAAAACCACAUGACCAUAACAGAGCGAGACAGCCAAUCACAAGCUUCCUUUUUUAUGACCGGAAGAAGAAUGAUUUCUUUCUUUCCGUGACCUAAAGUCUAAAAUCAUCUUUAUAUUAAAACGUUUAUCCCCAUUCAAACAUAGAUAUGUUUAUUUAUACCUGAUGGUCAUUUUAACGGAUUUUAACCGUUUUUUUUUUCAUGUCAUUGAUCAAGAUUGUUAGAUCAGUCAUUUUGAUAACUCUAAUCAAAAAUGAUCAGAGGCAUAUAUCGGCAGAUCUAGAUCAGCGCCAAUCAGAUCGGAGCACGCAGACUGACAAAGAUCAUCUUAUCUGAGUUUCUCAUCCUGCCGUCGACAGGACGCUUUAAAGCGUGAUGAGAGAGCGCACAGAUCCGAGCGUUGGGAGAGAAGAAGAAGAAAACUUCAUUAAUGAGACGCUGAAAUCUUUUUCAGAAGCUCAAACAGAAGCUCCUGUUCGGUUCAGACAGUCUGAGAUCUGACUGAUCUGAGAACUUCUCCACCUGACAGGAACCAGAAAAACACAGACCCCGUCAGCUCUGACGAUGUAAAACUCAGAACAUCUUCAGCUGAACGUGAAGCUCCGCCUGAAAAUGAGAAGAGAAUGAAAAUCAAUCCAACGCUGGCGCCGGCCCUGAACACAUCAUCAACGGGAUCUGAUGAGUCACAGCGUGACAGAAAAGUGCUGAGCAAUCAUUCACACUGCAGUGGACUGGACCAGAACACGCCCCGAUGAAAGCAGUACCACCACCGUUCAGCCAGAACCAGAACCAGAACCAGAACCAGCGUGGAUUAAGGUCACGGACACGGCUGACUGUCCUCUGAUUGGAGCAGAGGUGGAGAGCGUGGAGGUUUAUCCAAUUAUACAUGCAGACCUUCUGUGGUGGAACCUCGGAGAGCAGACGGAGGGCGGCGGGAAGAAAAGAGACACACGGGGGAAAUAACUUCACCAGGUACUGAUAAGGUAUCAUCCUGCUGCAUUGUGGGAAGUUUUCAAACUAUUUUACUUUGUACAAGUCAGAGAAGAGGAGGAGGAGGAGGAGGAGGUGGAGGAGGAGGAGAAGGAGGAGGAGGAGGAGGAAAGAGGAGGUGGAGGAGGAGGAGGAAGAGGAGAGAGAGGAGGAGGAGGAGGAGAAGGAGGAGGAGGAGGAGGAGGAGAAGGAGGAGGAGGAGGACGUGUUAGAAAAGGUGAGACUUCAGAUGGAGUUCGUCCCUCAGGAGAAGAUCCUCUGAAGGACAGGAGGACGGUCAGAGGAGGGAGGGACGACCCCCGACAGAGGAAACUGAGUCAGGGUUCAUCCUCUGGAGGACAGGAGUAUUCUUUACAGAAAUCCUUCUCUUCUCUCUGAACCUUCAGUGUCUCCAGACCAGUAGGUGGCGACGAUCAAACAGCAAACAGCUGAAGGUAACAGGGUCAAACCAAAGAGCUAGUCCAGGCAGGUCCAUCAGCUGAUCCUGGUUCUAGUCCAGUAUCAGCCCCUUCUUUCACGCUGAGUCUCUGUUCUGGGUUUCUGCUGCUGCUCCCCCUGCUGGGGGGUCUUUGGUAUUUCAUUAAAGAUCUGUGCUGGUUCGAAGCAGGAUCCUGGUCCUGGUCCUGGUCCUGGUCCUGGUCCUGUCUGCAGAUAAAACCUGCUCUUGAACUUCCAUCAUAUACAAUCCAACUUGUGUCUAAAUUCAACGCGUCACGUUGACUGUUGCCAUAGUAACGGGUAGUAAACAGGGCGAGCUGACUGCUGCUGUCUGAUAAAUAUGAGUGACAUUGAUAACAGACGUUUAUAUCUGAGUCUAAUGAUGGUGAUCAGAGAAGACCACGCCCCCUCAGGUCUCACUGGUGAUUCGUUUAUAAUCACAAGAACAUGAGGAGACGAGUUCAGAGUUCAGAGUUCAGAGUUCAGAGUUCAGAGUUCAGAGUUCAUGUUUUAAUGUCAUGAAUCCUCCCUAAAAUCGAACCCUCACGUCUCCUCAGAGCGUCUGUCUGCAGCAGUUACAGAAACUCUCCUCCAUGUUUGAGAAUGAUCAGAUGAGGACGCUCAGACGGACGGGGUCUGAAAUCCUUUUGGGCUUCAUAGAAACCUGCAGAUCAGUGAGUGAGUCAGUACUACCUGAGUGUCUGAGAUGUUCUCCUUCCUGCCCGCCUCUGAUCGGCGUCUCUGCCGCUCAGCUAAUUAUUAUGACAGAGCACGGCCCAUCCCCGCCGCCGCCGCCGCGUUGAUUUAAUUACUCUGGACCAUGCGUUUACUUCAGAUUCAGAGAUGAUAAAAGACGUGCGUCCUGUGGGUAAACACUAAUCAUCUCAAGUGUAGUGACGUGAAGGUCAUGUCGCCUUCAGCCUCGGCUUCAGCAACAAUUAUUAUCAGAGAUUCAGCUCCUGUACGAAGACUUCCUCUGAUACAGCAGGAUAAUAAAACACAGACGCAGACGGAGAAGGAGGUGAAUCCAGAGGGCAGCAGCCAUCUUUAAUGCAUUCAGAGACGAGAGGAGCUGAUUGGACCUGAGCAGAGAGCAGGUGGACUCCUGCUGUGAAGGAGCUUCAUCGUGUCUCCUCAGGGUGCGUUAGUUUUGGAGAGGAGACUCCAGGGAUGGACGCAGUUCUGUCGGAGGUGGGAGUGGUCCUCAGUUAGAAAAAGGUAGAUCACCUUCUCCAGGUCGGAGGGGCGGUCCUGCCUCAAGUGGAGGAGUUCAAGUAUCUCAGGAUCUUGUUCAGGAGUGAGGGUAGGAUGGAGCGAGAGAUCGACAGGCGGAUCGGAGCGGCGUCAGCAGUGAUGCGGACGAUUAACCGAUCAGUGGUGGUGAAGAAAGAGCUGAGCCGUAAGGAGAGACUCUGGAUUUACCGGUCGAUCUACGUGCCGAUCCUCACCUAUGGUCAUGAACUUUGGGUAAUGACCGAAAGAACAAGAUCGCAGAUACAAGCGGCUGAAAUGGGUUUCCUCCUCAGGGUGUCCGGGCUCAGCCUUAGAGAUAGGGUAAGGAGCUCGGACACUCGGGAGGCGCUCAGAGGAGAACCGCUGCUCCUCCACGUCCAGAGGAGUCAGCUGAGGUGUUAGGACGCCUUCUGGACGCCUCCCGUUAGAGGUGUUCCAGACAUGUCCCACCGGGAGGAGAUCCCAGGCGCUCCCAGGACCAGGUGGAGGGAUUAUAUCUCUCACCUGGCCUGGGAGCGCCUGGGAAUCCCCCCUAAAGGAGGAGGAGCUGGUGGACGUGGCCGGGGUGAGUGCCGUCUGGGCUUCCCUCCUGAAGCUGCUGCCUCCGUGACCCGGACCAGGAUGAAGCGGAAGAAAACGACGAAGAAAACGACGAAGAAAGCGAAGACUCCAGGGAUGGUUGAGGGGUUGUUUUUCGACCCGGUCUGUGAGGUUUGAGGUCUUCUUUGUCCAGCCCCCUCACUGUAGAGGUGAUAGAAGACUCAUGUGUGGAUGAUGAAGACAUCUGCAGAUGUUAGCGUUUUUCUCUGUGCAGCACGUUUGGCCCUGAAGAGCGAGUGUUGGGGUUAUUCCUCUGCAUUCAAAGACUCAUUUGCAUUUAUAUAAACACAGAUAUGGAUGUGUGCGUUAAUGCAUGUGAAGAAGCAUGAGACAUUUACAUAACACGUGUUACGUGGGCUGAUGAUGAAGUCAUUGAUCAAUUAUUCAGCUGUUUGAGGUUUGGGCUUUAAAAAACCGUCUGUCCCAGUAAAAACGCCCACGCCCAUCCUCACUGCACCAAACAAACAAACAAACAAACAAACAAACCCCACCCACCCACUCACUCCUCGCUGACUCUGAGUGAGCUGGGAGAAGAAGAAGAAGCUGACCACAGAAAACCACGUUUACAGAUGAUGGACCCUGAGUUUCUUCUCCAUGUCCUCGUGUCUGCUGCAGGCUGCCGUAGGUCGAGUGGAUGAGGAGAGAGGAACAUAAAGAAGUGUUGUUGCUCCUGUGACCUCUCCUCAGUAUGUAGAGAGGAUGUCUGAGGAUGUGCAUAAUGUAGAACUACAUUUACAACACUCUGAACAGACCUGCUCUCAGAGACGACCACCUGAUCUCCUCUCUGUUCACCGCCGCGUCCUUCCUCAUGUCGUCUCUUCAUGUCCAUCUUUCUCACUCAGGGACGAAACAGAAUCAGGAGUCAGUGUUUGAAAAGGAGAGUGGGCUCAAUUUUCGUGCCCGCCAGCGGCAAGGUGGAGGGUGACGCACAGUGACAUUUUUGUGCUUGGGCGUGGAAAGUGCGCUGAAAGCUCGCCGAUUCAAACCUGGUCAGCUGUUGGCGAGAGGGAGCGCCGCACCAGACCAGCGGCGUAGUGCACAUACGUCACCGAUGUCUCACUGGGAGGUUUCCACCGUGUCAAACACAUUUCAGAGAGUUUCCUUGCUUAUAUUCGGAGAAGGCAAGCGCUAAAAUAACUUUAUAAAAAUAACUUUAUAAAAAUAACUCGGGUGUGACGUCAUUUUCAUCGUGGUCAUCUGAGGUCACUCGGGUGCAGCAUGUCUUUAGAUCAGCUCCAGGACCAGGUUUUUGAGAGCUCUGUCUUAUUUCUCAAAACUCUUCUGGAAGUAGGACAGGGUUUAUAGUUUGGAGUAUCUAUAUAUCGUUCAGGUCCUGUCCUGUGGAGUCCCUCUGGGUUCAGUCCUGGGUCCUCUGUGCUUUCUGCUCCUACCUUCGAUUUAUAUGCAGACGACCUACCGCUCUACGUCUCUGUAACCUGACGGUGUCUAGAAACUCAAGGUGUGGUCCUGAAGUCAUCUACCUGUGAGCAGAUGGAGUUGUUCACGUUCUCAUGGUGGAGGAGGUGUGUUUCUGUAUCGUCCAGUUUCUCCGAUCUAAAAGGACGAUCUCAUCGGCCUCUUCUGCUCCAGAGAGUUCGGACUCCAAGGUCGAGCAAAUGAAUUUAAGAGUCUGUGUGUGUUUAGCUGCAGCUUUUCUCUGCUCCAUUUACUAGAUUGAAUGAGGCAUCAGUGUGGGUUUGGCAGCUGACACGAGUGUGUGUGUGUGUGUGUGUGAGUGUGUGCGUGUGUGUGUGAGACAGAGAGAACAUGAUCAUCCUGUAUUUGUUGCAGAGUAAUACCUUGCACUUUGAUAGGAUUGCGAACUCUGCGUGAAGAUUUACUCAAGUUUGUAAAAUCCGGAGACUUUUACUAAUUUGUCGUAUCACUCAGGAAGGAGGAAGCUUAGCCGCUCGACUUUCUGAUGUGGCGAAUUAACGCCACGGCGCCUUCUUACUGCGUGUGAAAACUCCCAAAUCGAUGGUAAUCCAGGAGAAAAGCCCAGAAAGUGGGGAUGAGCGGGAAUUCAUGCAGGAAAUGUGGGUGUAAAAGAUUGAGCAGAGACAAACGUGUUCCUGUGCAGAGUUUGAGGAGGACGGAGUUCAGUAUUCAGAAUAAUGUGGGUGUUUGUGAGGGUUUGGACUCAAAGUGUGUCUGGAGAUUCCUCAAGGGGAACUUCUCAUAAAACCACAGUCAGCUAAUGAUGGUGAGGGGAGAACAGAUGCUCUCACAUAUGUUGGAGCAGAGGCACUCACUCCUUCAUAAUGCAGUCCUAACACUAACUCACACUGCAGUGUUGCUCCUGUUAUAUUAGUCUAACGAGACUCCACUAAGACCUGGACCGGAUUUAAAUGAUGCUUCUGCUGAUUUCUUUGUGCAUGACAUGAAUCCAAAUUAUAUUUCCUAUAGGAUAGCACAAUAACAUCCUGAGAUCUGUCGAGAGUCAGGAAAAGCCAAAACAAGAGUGACUCUGUCUGAGUUCUGCACAUGUCCUGAAAACUCGGUCUUCUUCCUGUGAGAGUUCUGCACAUGCUCCAGAGUUUGCACGCUCACCUUUGACCCAGAAGUAUAAAUAUGCUGUAGGAAACCAAGACAGUAGGGGUGGGAGAAAAAAUCGAUUCACAUUAGUAUCAGGAUUUUUUAAAUUUUAAUUUAUUUAUUUAUUUUUUUUUAUUUAAGAAAAAAUCUUAAAAACUGAUUUACAUUUGAUGUGUAUUUUUGGGGAAAUCUGGUUCCUGGAAUAGUCAGUAGACAGUCAUAAUCAUUCAACUGUUUCACUGGAGUUAAAAAUGCAGAAUAAAUAUUGAGAAAAUCGACAAUAUCGUAGAAUCACAACUUUAAUUGAAUCGGCAUCCAAAAGAUCGUAAAAGAAUUGAAUCCGGAGAAAAGCAUGUCGUUGCAGCCCUACGGGACAGUCAACAAAACCCGGUCAGAAAACUAACGGACCUUAACAAGAUGAAGCUGUCAUAUCAUAUUUACUAUAGCCUCAUGCUAACGCACCUGUCAGCUGUUACGUAAUGUAGUGGAUAGGGCUGUCCUGGUACGAUAUUAGUAUUGGAUAUUGGUUCGAUAUCAGCCAAAAAACAAAUAUCGGAUUAACCGAUAUCGGCACUCCGAUACAUGCAGUCUAUUCCAGACUCCACUCCAGCGCCCGGAUCUAGCAUGUAGAGUCCACCUGAUCACAACAACAGUGUGUACUAAGGUACGAACAAAGUUACUGAGGAGUUGAAGAGAUGUCGGCCGCGUGGAAGUAUUUUUCGUUAAAGUCCGAAAAAGACGUUGCAGCUGAGUGAAAAACUUGUCAUUCACAAGUUUGUGCCAAUAUCGAAUCAAUAUCGGUAUCAGCCAAUACUGAAGGCUUGUAUUGAAGGUAGAAAAGUUGUAUUGGGACACCCCUAGAAGUGGACGAAGGAGUGUAAGUGAGCUGAGAGGGGGCGUGUCUCCGUCGACCACAGACCGGUUUUCCUCAAUAAUCUAUAAUCUUGUAAACAGAGACAAAAACAGUCAAACUGAUCGAUAAUCGUCUCUCAGCUGAAUCCUGAACAUACCAACAGUAGAGGAGAACUUUGUUGUCAGCUCGUCUGUCUUUGUCUUCUUCAGAUGUUUCCUCUUUGUCGUCCCACAGCGAUCGUGAAC